rnacentral:misc_RNA from 1 species
UUCUGAAAUUUCUCCUACAUUCAACUUAUCGAUUUUGUUCUCGAAUGUUGCGGCGCGGAUAACGCCCCCCGGUAUUUCUUUCAAACUCGUAAAAAUCGGCGGCGAACGGAAGUUCGCUAUACUUCAACCGUGCGAAUUGAAAGGAAUUCAAUAUGGCAAACGGAACAGUAAAAUUCUUUAACUCCACCAAGGGCUUUGGCUUCAUCCAGCCGGAUGACGGUAGCUCGGAUGUAUUCGUCCAUAUUUCUGCUGUGGAACGCGCUGGUCUUCAUUCCCUCGUGGAAGGCCAGAAGGUCGGCUACGAAGUCGUUG